GGGAGCGCCUCGGACGCGGUCCCCUGCCUUGCGGGGAUACCCUGGGUGGGGGAGGUGGAAAGUGGGUCUCGGGGGGAACCGAACCAGAGUCUGUGGACUAGCCUUUCCUAUGCUUGAAAUAAUUUUCAGGUCUCAAUGAACCAAAAAUGUAUUACAUCUACAGUUUCCGGUAUAUUAGCAUAAUCAGUAUCUUGUAGAUAUCAUAGUCACAUGAUGAUUUGUCAAUGCUCUAUGAGCAGAGAAUAUUUUCUGUGACUCUGUUUACUUUUGCCUAGUAAUUAGCCUAAUCUUUUUUUGUGGUUUCUCCCUGCCUGUAAAUAACAUCAACUCUAAUACAGGCCAGUAAUAUACAUAGAAGAAACUUCAGUCCCCCAGCCCGCUUUUUAAACUUCCUGUUUAAUUUUUUAAAAUUUUAUUCAAGUAGGACUAAAAAUCUUAAAACAAAUUUUUACUACACAAGAUGCUAAUGGUAUGUAGUAUAUGCCCUGUGCAAAAGUACAGGUUUUUUUCCUUAUUUAAAACUAAAAAUUACUUUUUUAGCCAAACUUUACAGCCUAAAAAGCAAUUACUCUUGUUAUAUUUCUUGAAAUCAAUCUUUCUUUUGCAUCUAUAAAUUUUUUAAACUCAUAAGGAGAAUACUUUUUCUGUUAAAUAAUUGGCUUAAGACAAAAUGGAUUUUAAUUUUUCUAAAGGUAGGCUUGAUAUAUUUAACAUAAAUAAAGGUUGUAAAUUAUAUUGGUGAAUGUUAUUUACAAUAUGAAAAUGUUCAUACACUGUUGAGUACUAAAGCUACUGAAAUCAUGUCUAAAUAAUAUGAAUAAAAAUAUAGCCUAACACAAUUUAUACAAGACUUUAAAAAAAACAUUUUCUUACUAACAUAAUCAGGCUUAACUAUAGGUCUAGCUGUUUCAGAAUAAUUAUAGACAUGUAUCAAUUUCUUGGUUUCUUAUAGGCGUGUGUGUACAUUAAAACGUUAUUUUUUGUUUGUUUGUUUUUGUUUGGUUUUUUUUGGUACAAGUCAAAAAUUACUCAUAUUACCUUGCUCCUAGAUAAUAAUCUGGUGUCUUUUUUUUUCUUUGUAUAUAUGUGAACAUAUGUGUAGGUACUGCUGUGGAUUGAUGUCGCCCCAAAACUUAGUUGCCACUGUAACAGUGUAAAGAGGGUGGGAAGUCCUAUUAUGGUAAUUGAAAGGUGGGGCCUUGAAGAGGUGAUUAGAUUGUAGGACCAUGGCAUAGUGAAUGGAUUAAUAAUGGUGGUCAAGGGCGUAGUUCUGAGGACUUUAAAAGAAGAGUACAUGACAGUCUCUUUCUCUCUGCCAAUUCUGCCAUGUGAGACCCCUGCAUCACUGUUGCCACCACCAAGGCCUUCACCAGCUGUGUUCCCUGGACUUUGAACUUCCCAGCCUCCAAAACUGCACUGAGGAGCAAACAGAGGCAGAAAAGUUCCUUAGACUUGACUUUUAAGGGAAGAUCAUGAUGGUACCACUGUCAAGGAGGCACCAAGAGCAAAAAAGAACGGACAUGAGGCACCAGAAAUAACAACGAUAAUACCAACCACGAAGUAGAGCAGCCAUCUGAAGACACAGGUGACCAUGAGGAUGAACGCUCUUUGCCGAAGCUGAUGGAGCAGAAGAUGGAAGGGUCCUGGGCACUGAUGGAAUCAUGGUGCCUUUACAGCCUACUUCACACUACCUGCCUCCAAACUUGUAGUCAUGGAAGAAAAAAUAACCCCCUCUUUGGUUAAACCACUGUAGUUGGAUUUCUGAUACAUGUGGACUUAAUCCUAACAAAAAGACCUGGUCAGCAGAUGGGACACAUACUGAGCAAAGAACACAAUUUCUAGAAUGUAACAGAUGCUCAGUGAAUGAAUCCAUGAGUAAAUGAAUGUAUCAGCAAUGGAAGACAGAAGUACCAGAUUACAGAAGGAAGUGCCCUUAGGAAAAUAUAAUAUUUACAGCUACCACUUACUUGCUGGGCAUGUACCACGUGCCCUUCAUUCUAUCAGUAAUCUUUGUAACUCAUGUAGAUUGGUAUAGUCGUGCCUGUUUCACAGAUCAGGAACUGAGGCUCAAGGAGUCUGAGCUAACUUUCCCAGGGAGUCAGAGCCAAUAUGUGGUGGGGCUAGGGUUUGAAUCCACAUCUGGGUGAUGUUGAAGUCUCUGUUUCUUCUCUUAGUCCAAGCUGCUAUUGUAAUUAAAUACUCACCGGGCACUUGGACCAAGGCCACUGGGUCGUUGGAGAAACUGGGGUGAAAUUGCCCCACAAUCCCUGAGCUGUAUGAGCACGACCAAUUCUUUCCUCUGUUUCUCAUUUCCUGAUUUGUAGAAAGGAUAUCAAUAGCACCUUCCUUACCGGCUUGUUGUAUUAAACGUGAGAUGCAUGUAUAACGUGUUCAGCAGAGCGCUACUAAAAGCUCAAACAAUAUUGACCAUCAGCAUUGUUAUCAUCUCUGACCUCCCAAAACCCUGCAACAAUCUAUAGCAAGUAUGAGCUCUGGCCUUGAUCGGAGUCUCCCAAGGAGGUAUCCGGCUGAGCAGGGGCCUUACAGCUGUUGGAGUCUGUGUGUUUUUUAACUUUAAAGGCCCAAUUCGGACUUCUCACUGCCUCUGUCGGCACCCCCUUAGAGCACAGGUCUCCGUGGGUCUCAGAAAUGCCCGUGAGAUUUCUCUUCCUUGCUUUAAGUUCUGAUACUUCGCUGAACUUGUUGUCAUUCCAAGCCGAGGGAGUGUCCCUCACAGCCCGAAGGCUCACCCCUUAAUCCCACGCAGGUGUCAGACAAUGCCUGAUGGGCGGAGGACAUUGUGCUCCUGUCUGGCGCUCUGCCUGUCCCACCUCAGCCCCAGGAGCAGUCGGGAGGUGGACGUGUCUGAGGCGAGAUGCGGGGGCGGAUUUGAGUCUGAGAUGCUAACCUGCCCAACCGAAGGUUUCACAUCUGUCUUGGCACACACACGGGUGCACGGAAUCUAGAGUCAGUUGCAGCUCUGAGCAGGUGGGGUGGGUCCUGGGGUGUUGAGUACAGGUGGGGCUAGAUGCCUGCCCUGUCACAGCAGGCCUGGCAGGUCCCCACAAUGCCCUGGGCCACUCAAGAGACAGUGUGGGAAAGAAACACAGUGUGGUCAGGAAACUGCUCUAAAAAGCCAGGUCUUUGGAAUCAGAGCUUGGAAUGCUAGAUCUUAUGCUUAUUAAUUGUGUCAUUUGAAGUACAUUACUCAGCCUCUCUCCGAGGCUAUUUUCUUAUCUGCAAUGUGGGAAAAAUAAUAGUGCCUAUAGUUGUUAUGAAUAUGAAAGGAGAUAAUUUUAAAAAGUUUUUAGCAGCAUUUGGAAAAUUGUUAGUGUUCAAUAAAUAUUAGCUAUGGUAAUCACAUUAGCAUCAAGUAUAUGUAUGGUAAAAGCUACAAAAGCUUCUAACAAUCAGUUAAAAACUGCUGUGUGCUCUGGGAGGGACACUGGAUUGUGGCUGUAUGUUCUAAUUUUUUACUGCUGCUUAUGUAUAUCCCCUGACGAUGUCAGGAUGAGCAGGCAUGGAUGGUAUCAUUUGGUGGUAAGAACAUAUCUAAUUCUUACAGUAUAGUGUGUCAGUGCCUGCUGUCUACUCAGCACAUGUUUGUUGUUGUGAAUAAAUAAAAUGUU